UUAUUGCAGACUUUGGACUCUCAAAUUCUUUGAGCCUCGUGGGUCUCACUUUAUACCUUUCUUUCUGAAUAAUCAGCUUGAUAGUCGAAUUCCUACUGAUGGAACUCCUUCCACUCGUGAACUCGGGAAAGCCAUGAAAGGUAGAACUCGAUCUCGUGGUCCCUGUAUUCUCGGUCGACUUUCUUCGUCCCUCUCUCGAGCUGCAAGGCGUCCGUCUGUAGUAGGUCUCUCCUUUGUCUUUGAUCUAUCUUAGUUCCCGCGCUGGAGGGUAGUUCUACUUCUAACGGCUAUUGUGGGAACUCAUUCCACUUCUCAUUCCCUUUUGAUGUACCCUUUCUUCUCUUCUCGUGAAAGAUUGCUUCUCAUUUUCAGGGGAACCGCAUUCAAUGGCGAAUGAUAGCAACGAAAGGGAGACUGAUUACUUAACCUUCGGUCGAUCCCAUGAUAGAUAACCUUCCUCUCAAAGCUAAUUGAAAGGUAGAAAACUCCUCCUUCUACCGCGUAGUGGGGACUCCUAAUUAAGCUAGUCCGGACGACUAUUCGCUAUUACUUUUCAAGUACUUGUCAAGCUAAACCAAUACGAUCAAUGGAUAGAUGUACUUGAUGAUCACAGUUUAAGGAAGGUCUUAUGGAAGAAGUAGAAUACGGAAAAAAGGAUAUGGGAGGACCUACAAACCAAUAAACAAAGAAAAGACACUGUAGCAGAAAAGAUCAAAGAGUACCUCCAAACAAAGGGAUGGCCGGAGGAGUAUACCAUUUCAGAACUACCGGAUAAGUACUUGAAACUAGAUGGGAUAGCGACCAACCUACUGUGGCAAAGACCCAUAAAAACGAAAGAACUCUGAAUCUCAUUCAUCUUUUGAAAAAAGUCAUACGAUAGCCUUGGCACCAGAAAGACUAAAAGGGGGCCAAUGACUUCUUUGAUCUUUUUUUCAUAGAUGAGUUUAGAGAACUAGAUGCACAUGCCACGUAUCCCGGAGAGCCGAGGAGGAAGCAUGAAACCAUUUUCACGCCUUACUCACACUUUUAGACGGACAAGAGACUAGACGCUAAGAGAAAACCUUCAGGAAAAGGUCCCCAUCAUUCGAAGCGGGAAUCACCUGCCCACUUUCUUCACUAACAAAGGACCCUGGGCGGAAUGAGCCCCUACUCACUAUCAAAUUGAGAAAAGAUGAAGGAGGAAAGGCAAGAAUUUCAAGGUAGAAAAGUCCGACUGCCUUUCAUCUUGCUCCGGAGGAGUCUGAUUCCAUAUUCAAUCAGAAGGGCUUUCAACAAUGACUCAGCCUGAAUGAAUGAUCCACGCAUAAAGUACAACUCGAGAGAAGGAGAGACAAAGCUUAAACUACCGUCAGUGGGCUAGUUCCUCUCCAUAUCGGUCGAGAUAUUCUAACCUCGAUCUUCAAGUGAACCAUCUCUUUGUACUCUGCCAUACGUUUACCGGCUUUCAUCAAAGCCAUUAUUCUAUGAAAUUCAGGGUCCGUCCGAAGGUGAAGGGAAGAACUCGACUCCCACGGGGCGAAGAAAGUCGACUGAUAAGGAGAAAGAAAAGGAGCGGUUAGGAGAUGAAUAAAGAAAGCGAAAGGACUUAGAAGGAGCGAAGGUACUCUACGUUUGAAAUAGAGGUUCAAAGAAUUUUCAAUUUCAUAAAGAGAGAAAACGAGUCCUUCGGACUGAGAAAAAUUCAGUCAAAAAACAACUAUUAUCAUAAGAUAAGAUCAGUCUAUCAAAUCCACUUUUGAAAUGAAAAAGAAGAUUUAGUGGAACCUACGGCAGAAGCACGAAUCUGACAUUGAGCCUUCGGACCGCGUAGUUAGGAGUCCGAAGGACUAUCCAUAUUCACCUGUGGUCUCAUUGAUAAGGACAUAUGAAUAUGAAACUCCGGACCCGUCUUCUGGAAUAUGAAAUUCCUUUCUAGGAUGAGUUGGAUCCCUUGUCAUUUGCUUAAGACAUUCAUUCCUUGCCUCCGAACCCGAAACGGAAGAGAAGAGCACCUAUCCUUUCUCAUCAAAGAUAUGGUCUCGCCUUUGUUCCGAUCCCGUAGUAGGAGUCCUUUUCUUCUGAACUGAGAUUCUGAUUAUCUCUUCAAAGUUAUUCUUCUUUUCUUUUUCAUAGUCUUGUAAAGAAGUCAAUGAAUCAAGGGCUCGACUGAAAGGAGAGGAAAAUCAGAGAAUAAGAAGUCCGAAGGACUCGUUCAUUCCAUAAUUCUUCUUCUUUUGAGUUGUCUUGUCUUAAGACUCCUAAUUAAUUAAUAUGGAUUUCUCAAAGUCUUUGACUUGAUUCUCAUUUCUUUCUUUUGAGUCGUCCUCCGGCGCGAAGCGAAAGGACUGAUUUCAAAUAUUUUCAGGAGUGCAAGGAAAGAAAUCCAUAUAAAGAUAAUGCGCUCCUCUCCUAUAUUUUUUUCUACGAGUACCUUCGCUCCUCUCCUUAUCAGUCGAGUACCUUCGCUCCUUCAAAUAGUUCAGGGAUAAGGACUGAGCAAAUUCUUUGCGCCUAACCUUUGUAUCCUUCCUAACCUCAGUCGAGUUCAAUGAGCCUUUGUUCAUUGACUCCUUCUUAGUCGACUUUCUUCGAACCUUUUGUUUUGAGUCGAGUUAUUUCAUAACCUCCGGACCUGUGGAAUGACGAAUAUGAAUUCAGCCUCCGGACCACUCAAAGCCGACUCCCAUAAAGACAGAAUAUCUCAAGUCUGAUUCCAAAUCUACUAAAAAGAUUCAAGCCUAUCCUCUUGCUUCCCCGCGCCGAAACCAACUAAUUCAGGGGGAGCUGACUCUUUCUCUUAUGCUUGGUCUUAGACCUUGAAAAUGGUACUUCUGACUAAUGCUACCUCUGAAGACAUGGAAGAACUCUUCCCCGACCCCUAUCAAAGAACAACAAAAAACUCGUAGUUUGUUCUAGGGUAGUGGGCUGCUCUCAGUUUACGGAUGAGCUCAUUCUCUCUGUCUGGAAGUCUGCCGAAACGUCUCAUUCAACCUCUUUUUAGAUAUUGAGAUUAUGUUCUUCUGAUAAUGGAAGAAGAUCUCAUACACAGCUACUAGGUAUCAUUCUUCUGACUCCCCUACUAUGGAAAGCAGCUACUACUCUGUAUCCACUCGGUCAAGGAGUUCCACUCCUAUUCUAUGGCUUCUCGGACAACUAUACAGGAGAGCAGCACCCUAUCCAACUAACUUCCACGCCGGCUAGGCCCUCUAUUUUAUGGACUCGGUCGAGCUAUUGCUUGAGGCUAGUCCCUCUUUCAGACUCAAACCACUCCUCUCCCGCCUCAAUGAACAAGGGAAGGGCUUUCCGACUCCCGACUCAAGACGCUUUCUAAGCUGCAAGGGGGCCUAACCCAAGAUUUCUUGUUCGCGCUGCCUCGUCUAGCUUCUGCUUUCUCUUAUGCUUCCUCUUUAGAUAUUAUGUAGUUACCUUGCUUCCGAAACUGGGACAGAUUCCUAUCCAAUCCCUAUCUCUGGGGUUCCUCUCAGAGUGCUGCCAUAUGGGGACGGAGAUCCUAUUAAGUUGAGUUGCUUUGCUCCUCUCCCCGAUCCCGAAACUGAGACUGAUGACUGACGGCUUUCCUCUGACUAGUAGGUUGACUCUGCCGGCCGAUCAUGACUCAGUCUCCCUAAAGAGAGAAUGAAAGGACGACGGAUGAAAGAGGUGGGGUUCCUCUAUCAUUUCUGACUUUAUGGUCUCACAUUUCAUCCUUUUAUGACUCAACAAGAGCCCUGCGAAGAUUUGAGUGCUUUCAUACCUUCUCCUAUAAUGAAUGUUAGGAAAGACCUACGGGAAGAGGAGGAAGUCAAUGAAGAUCCAUAAAGAAAUAGGAGAGGCGAAAUCUAAUAUGAGAGAGGCUCAAAGAAUGAUCGUGUACGUGCUGGAAACCCUGUAUUCAAAUGCUCAUUCAAAAAGGUCUUUCCCGGCUGGUCCUCUAAUGUCCUUCAUUCAAUAAGUAGGGCGCUCGAAAUUGGUCUUAGCCUCUAUUCGUCUUGGCCUCUCCCUUCGUGGUGUGGGCAGCACACACAGGAAAAGAGUGCUUCGUCUCCAAGAAAAGGUAUUUCAAGAGGGACUAGAAAAACCAUCGGGGGGUUACAAUUGACUAACUCAAAUCAUCAGAGAUAGGGGAAAGCCCGGCCAUUGAAUAAAUUGAAUAAGAGGGCCAAGAACAAAUUCCAUAAAUCAGUCCUCCGUCCUACAGUCGUCAUGAAAGAAGGAGAAUUUCUGAGUUGCACUCCUUCACUCAAAUUCUUUGAGCCUGAACAGUCCCUUAUUAUUGAGGGCUUUGAACCUCUCCUUCCUAACCUCACUCGAGUUGAUUGAGGGCUUUGACCCUCUCCUUUCAGAUGAAUAUGGAUUUCAGACUCAUCUGGAGUAGCUUAAUUAGGCCUAUUCAAAGGCGAACUUUCAGUCGCUUUUCACAUUCUUUGAGCCUCUCAUUGAUAAGGACAUAUUCACUUUUCACAAUGUAGAGGCUCAACCGAAUACAAACUACAAUGAACAGGAACGUGGACCAAAAAGUCUAUUAGGCCUUUCGGCGCAGAUGAGUUGCUUUGACUUUGAGUCCUCAAUCUCGAUGGUUUGCAAUAUCUUUGGGAGGAAAUUCAAAGAUAGGAUUAGAUUAUAGCCAAAAUCCAGAAACUAGAUUUUUUUUGAUACGAACAAGAGAAUAGAUAAAAGUGAGUGUAGUGCGUGGUGCUCAUUGUAGUAUCCUAUUAGUAGCCGUGCCUCAUAUUCUUUCUUUUUUUCAUUGGGGGCCCUCUCCCUACGCUCGAGUCUCUUCGCCCCUCUCACUUAAAUAUUUCUCUCAUUUGAUCUUGCUCCUCGUCUUGCACUCCCUCCUUUUCCGUCUUCUUCCUUUGAUUUUAGUAAGUUCACGUCUCCUUUUGAGUCUGAGCCUUAUUACAGUCAAUUUUUCUGAACAGCCCUUUCCCGUAUUUGAAAUAGAAGGGCCAUUGGAUGAAAUCAUAGAUGUCCCCCUAGUUCUUGCCUCUGCAAGAAGAUAGUAGCUUCCUUCUCUUUGCCAAUGACCAUACCUGUGGUAUAGGUAUUACUGCAAAGUUGAGGAGUCUCGUGCCAUCUAUCUCUCACUUUUGAGUAUGGAAGAUGAAGGUAAAGCGUGGCUUUCUCAUUCUCAGUUUGUUCUUCUCGCCUCAGGGCUAGGAUGAUAUCCUUCUUCUCUUUUUUGAUUUGUAGGAGUCAGAAAGAUUCAAGCCUAGGAUCCAUAUUUGUAUUAUUGUUGUUGACCGCCCGCCUCCUCCUUGAAGUCAGAGUAGGAUAGAGGGUAGAAAAUCUUCGGAUUCCUUAUGAACUUCCAAACCUACUCAAAAGUGAAAAAUAAUGGAUUUCUCAACUCCUAACCGCGAAAGUCGACUGAUAAGGAGUCAAUGAUGAUAAUCAGGCUUGAAUCAAGAAAGCGAAAGGACUGAAUUCUCGAAGGAGCGAAGGUACUCUACGAAAAAAAUAUAGGAGAGGAUCAAAGAAUUUGAGACUGAGGUUAGGAAGGUUCAGAGCGAAGGUACUCGUAGUUUCAAAUAUAGGUUCAGAGCGAAGCCACUCGACUGAGGUUAGGAAGGAGAGGAGCGAAGCCACUCGACUGAGGUUAGGAAGGAGAGGAGCGAAGCCACUCGACUGAGGUUAGGAAGGAGAGGAGCGAAGCCACUCGACUGAGGUUAGGAAGGAGAGGAGCGAAGCCACUCGACUGAGGUUAGGAAGGAGAGGAGCGAAGCCACUCGACUGAGGUUAGGAAGGAGAGGAGCGAAGCCACUCGACUGAGGUUAGGAAGGAGAGGAGCGAAGCCACUCGACUGAGGUUAGGAAGGAGAGGAGCCGUAGUUAGGAGUCUGAAAGCGGAGGCUCAAAGAAUUUGAGACGAGACUGAAAGGAGAGGGUCAAGGCCCUCAAUCAAAGAACUCGACUGAGGUUAGGAAGGAGAGGCUCCGUUAGGAGUUGAAAGCGAAGUCCUUAUCCCUUGAUUAGGAGCCUGAAUGAACAAGGGCGACUCAAAACAAUAGGGUGCGAAGGUACUCGUAGUUUGAAAUAGAGCGAAGGUACUCUACGUUUCAGAUAUAGGUUCAGAGCGAAGCAGCUCGUAGUUUGAAAUAUAGGUUCAGAGCGAAGGUACUCUACGUUUGAAAUGGAGCGAAGCAGCUCGACUAAGAAGGAGAGGAGCGGUUAGGCGCAAAGAAUUUGCGGGUCCUUAUCCUUAUUAGGUAGGAGUGCAACUCAGAAUGGAAGAGGUUAAUAUGGAUUUCUGACGACUGAGGUCUCGACUGAAAGGAUAAAAUAAAGCUCCAGAUGAGUUGAGAAGAAUUUGAGAAGAAUUUCUCUUCUUUCUUUUUUCUUUCGGGGGCCCAGAAGGCUAAAAGGUGGGGGAGAAGCAAGCCGAACCUCUGAUCGACCCCUGGAAACAUCACAAAUUCUCGGCGUCGAGAGAGAUUUGAGAUUCCGUAAGUAACUCAGCGAGUGCUUUCUAAGCUAAGAAGGGCUUGACUUGGAAGAAGAAAAUGAAAUACGAACAACCG